ACACACAUCCUAAUGGAUGCUUGUGCCAACAAGCAGACCCAGCGAACCAUUCUCCUAUCACUUGAGGGGCUGCAUCGCGAGGUGCAGCUGUCGGCGGUCGGGCCCUUGCUUCAGGGGCCGGAGUCCUUGCUGGGUUCACCGUUGCGGGUGAGCACCGGCCGUCCGACGGGGGCCGCUCUUGGGCCUCGCACACGGGAGAGUGCGGGGGCGGCGUUUCCCACUCCAGCUGUCCCAUCCGGGGCAGCUGCGCAACCAACCAAAACACUAUGCAAAAACCGACUGAAGACCGAUCCUUUGCGGGCGCCUUCGGGAGCCCUGCCUCGGAUCAAAAACAAACUAAAGACAACUCUCAACAACGGAUAUCUUGGCUCUCGCAACGAUGAAGAACGCAGCGAAAUGCGAUACGUAGUGUGAAUUGCAGAAUUCCGUGAAUCAUCGAAUCUUUGAACGCAUAUUGCGCCCGCGGCCUCGGCCAAGGGCAUGCCUGCCUGAGCGUCAUUAUAACACCUCACAACCCUUUUUAGGGUAGUGGAUCUGGCCGUCCGGACUCUCGAGCCUGGUCGGCUGAAAGGCAGAUGCAAAGCCAGCAGCCCAUUCAACGGCAAGGCGUGGUAGACCGCAUCGCGGGCGAUCGUCGUGCCGGGGCUGCCUUUUGGCCUUCGCAUUAGCAGGAACCGCCGCUCUCGACGGACUUCGGUCCGAAAGGAGCCGGCCUUGACCCAUUGACCUCAGAUCAGACAAGA
rnacentral:sRNA from 1 species